UACGUAGGGUGCGAGCGUUAAUCGGAAUUACUGGGCGUAAAGUGUGCGCAGGUGGCCGCGCAAGUCGAGUGUGAAAUCCCCGGGCUUAACUUGGGAAUUGCGCUCGAAACUACGUGGCUCGAGUAUGGCAGAGGAAGGUGGAAUUCCACGUGUAGCGGUGAAAUGCGUAGAUAUCUGGAGGAACACCGGUGGCGAAGGCGGCAUCCUGGACCAACACUGACACUGAGGAGCGAAAGCCAGGGGAGCAAACGGG
rnacentral:rRNA from 1 species